GUGUGUCAGACGGUGUGCGCAGAUGCUGGAAAUCUGCUGCUUGGAUCCUCACCUGCCUGCUGGCAUCGUUCUUACUGAUAGCAGUCACCAGCUUCCUUUCAACCGAAGAUAUCAAACUCCAACAAAGAUCAGUUUCCACCACCAACACAAAUGCCCCAGUGACAACACAGUCUCAAGGUGAGCGUCUUAGCAAUUCACUUUCUCACCCUUUCUUACAUCUUUGUAUGAGAA
rnacentral:lncRNA from 1 species